GUGAUUCAGCUAACCUCAAAUCUGCACUGCUUGUUUCAGAUGUCUCAUCUUCAGGCUUUUGAGUCUCUACAGAACUGUUUGACCUCAGUUGUUCAUAAUAAGUCUCAGAGGAUGAAUGGCGUGUCUCAGUUGAUCACCAUAUCGUCUAUAAACCGUGGACGAUGAUGGAUCACACACCUUAUAAGAUACAGGCCCAGUCUGCUGCACAACCACUCCAGGAAAUCCAACCUGGUGCGAAUAUGUCUCUUCAGAAAUAGGACAUAGGUCAGACGGUGACUUACCUGUGGUACAAUUUGGGGUGGUACUAUAGCACAACACAAAUAAAGAUAUUUUAUCAUCAA